CAUAGCUAGACACUAACAUGUGCCGGUUGCGAGAAAUUAGGGUUCAGGGUUUCGGCCUCCGGAAACGCGGCGCCAACGGUGUGGUUCCUUUGGAAGUUGGGCUUGUUUGAUCCGAUGGGAUGCGGUUAGUAUUCGGGGCAGCUCUGAAACCGUGUCGAAUUCCAUCAAAAUCGAAACUUUCCUUUACCUUUUGGGUUUCCACCCCUCGAUCCCACCACCCCGAGCAAUCCCCUUCUGAGUUCGACAUGGACGACGCCGGAGAGAAGCUCGAAGACUACACCGUCGUCAAGGAAGGGGAGGCCGAGAUAAUUGCAUUCCGGCAGCAGCGUCUUCUAUAACGACGCCCAGGUCCCUGAAGAUAUACACAUCCAGACGAGUUAAGACACUGAUAUGCCUCCACCUCAAUGUCUCCCUUGCAUUUGCUGACACUGUACCCUCAUCUUUGCCUGAAUCAAAAUUUUUACUACUGCCCUCUAAACAAGUAGAAGAAAGCCAACUCGCUUCAACAACCUCGAAUUUAGCAAAAAGAUUCAAUUUUUACCUCUUCGACGCACUUAGAUAAGAUUGCAACAAUGGAAGACGAAGCCGGGAAUCCAUGAGGAUCAUAACGCUUCGGCUCCCCUCGAGAGUUCACCGACGGUAUGAACUCCUUAUAAACCCUUAUUUUUAUAAAAAACUUUUUAAUUUUUUUUUUAAAAUAAAAUAUAAGAUAUUUUUUUAUUUUUUUGUUGGUCAUACUUUUCGUGUUUCUCUUUGUGUCGACGGAUGUUGGAAAUUUCAAAACCGGAUCACUUCGACGUACAAGAAACAGUGGUUUGAAUGAAAAUAAAGCAGGCUACAAGACUAACGAGAAUUUCUUGCAAGAAUUGAAGCAGCUGAUUCCUUAGCUUAGGAUAAAUCUACAUAUCUAUGGCAAAACCUGGACCAAAUGCAUUUUUCUGGGAAGUUCUAAUAGCUGCCAUGUUAAUCAAAUUUGACCUGCAAUUCAGAAAAUUCAAAGAUGUAUGCUACCGAAGUAAAUAAUUAGAAAGGAGUCGAGAUUGACAACAAGAAAACUCCACUGAUGUUAAAUACUCAUGUGAAAGUUGCUCAAACAUUGUUUGGUUAAGCAUACUCCCAAUGCAUAAAAAAAAUGUAGCCCAUAGGCACCAUAGAGCACCAAGUGAAUCAGUUGAUGGUGUAGGUUUUGAUCUGUUACUUCUCCAACCUAGAAGAGAUGUGAAGAAGGCAAUUCUGCCAGUGUUCUUUUCUCUGUGCCUGGGAGAUGUUGAUAUCUCAGGAGCUAGACAUCUCUAUGGCACCAAUUAUGACCUCACGACCGUCGCUACAUUUUAUAAUUGAUGAAACAAUUGAUUUGCAACGAAUGCCAGUGAGACAAAAGGAUCCGUUUCUGACUGUAUUUAGUGAACAGAAUAGAUAUUGUCAGUCCAAGAAGUCCCAAAUUCUCCAGUUAAGACUACCGUACCGAUGAUCCAUGUCCUGAAACCAGCUGAAAGAAGCGAAGGGCAGUGGUCCGCUGCUCGAGAAAAAGGUUCCAUACAAGAUCAUGCGAUGUCUGGUGUUCACUAAAGAUCAAAUCCUAGUCCUUAAAGAAAUGGUCCCCUGCUCACUAGAGAUCAAAUUCUAGGGGCCGGUUCUGCAAAUUGAAUGGACAGGACUAUCUUGCUGUAAAAUGCACCAAUGUCAUAGCUAACAUUGCAGUGCCGUUCCAUCAACCUGAGAGCUUAAAGUCAUGCUAGCUUAACAACUACCAAGCUGCCCAGCCAAUGAAAAUAGGGUAGGUCACCACAGAGUUGCAGGUCACAUAACAUUCAGAAAACAGAAGAGCAAUAUGAAAUUUGAAUGCAUGCACAAUAAAAUUCAGAAAACAGAAAAGCUAUAUGAAAUUCGAAUGGAUGCACAUCCCAUGUUUUCUAUAGAUCUUUUCCCCUGAUCUUUAACAGUAGGCAAAAAAAAAAAA